GAUGAACGCUGGCGGCGUGCCUAAUACAUGCAAGUCGAGCGAACAGACGAGGAGCUUGCUCCUCUGACGUUAGCGGCGCACGGGGGAGUAACACGUGGAUAACCCACCUAUAAGACUGGGAUAACUUCGGGAAACCGGAGCUAAUACCGGAUAAUAUAUUGAACCGCAUGGUUCAAUAGUGAAAGACGGUUUUGCUGUCACUUAUAGAUGGAUCCGCGUCGCAUUAGCUAGUUGGUAAGGUAACGGCUUACCAAGGCAACGAUGCGUAGCCGACCUGAGAGGAUGAUCGGCCACACUGGAACUGAGACACGGUCCAGACUCCUACGGGAGGCAGCAGUAGGGAAUCUUCGACAAUGGGCGAAAGCUUGACGGAGCAAUGCCGCGUGAGUGAUGAAGGUCUUCGGAUCGUAAAACCCUGUUAUUGGGGAAGAACAAAUGUAUACUUAACUAUGCACGGCUUGACGGUACCUAAUCAGAAAGCCACGGCUAACUACGUG
rnacentral:rRNA from 1 species